CUUGGGCCGCGUCGUCACGCGCCGUGGAGAGCGCUGGGCGGGCGGAGCCUUGUGGCCUGGAGUAGUGAAGUCGCCCCGCAGGUUUCCCAAGUCUCGCGUGAUCACGUGGUGGCCCCCACAGGCGGAAGUGUCCAACAGCUCUUUUGGGAUAAGAGGCUUUUAAAGUAUUGCUGGAAACGCCGAAUUUUGAGGGACACGCGGAAUGUAGUCUGGACAAGUGAAGGAGUUUAUCCUCAUAAAGCAAAACGAAAUGUCACAGUUAUAUGCCUCUGAAUGCAGAUUUGGAGAAUAUCAAAGGCAGCUUACCAGAGAGGAAAAUAUGCGACCUGCCAGGACCUGAAGGAAGAACUUAGAGAAAGCAGAGCCAUUAAUACUCAGAAAAUGGGAAGUUGUCGAUCAUGUUGAACAGUGGAGCAGAACAAAUAGAAAUUAGAACAUAUUUCUGAACCGAGUGCACCAAUAAAGCAAAGCUGUAUAUAUCUUCUGCACAUGAGAAGAAGGCAGAUAGAACCGGCCUUUAAGCUGCUGAGCAGGUAUUCCCUUUGGGAUGGCCAAUAUAGUUCCUUGUAUGGUAAGGAGACACCAAGAUAGAAAUAAGAAGUAGAAGUACAGAAU